GGAAUGUAGCUCAGGUGGUAGAGGGCUUGCCUAUCAUUCUAGAGGUCUUAGGUUGGAUCCCAAGUACCA
rnacentral:tRNA from 1 species